AGAUGUCAAGGGGAGGGGGGGGAGAAGGAAGGCCUCCUAGAGGAAGUAACCCUCGAAUUAAGUCUUAAAGGAAGACAGAGAUGCUAAGCAGCAAAGGACAGGAGACAGAACAUUCCACGAAUUUGAGAAAGGUCUUUGUUAUAUGAGAUGAAUCUCUGGAAGAUGCAAAAUCAAGGAUACUGGGGUAAACUACAAGAAAGUAAAAAACAAACGACAUUUUACAAGCAGAAAGUAAUGUGUGCAAUAUGUAAUGUAUGCUUUUCAAGAAAGCUCGGGGUAUGAACAUGUUUCACAUGCCAUCAUCUUUUUUGUUUUCUGGUGUGAAUGCAGAAAUGCUCAUUUGGGGGAAGUAUUUAAUUUCAAAAUAAAACUAAUAUUUAAAAGGAACAGAAAAGAAAAAAUCUAGAUGCUAAGGCACUUUUUGAAUUUGGUGGCUUACAGGACCAGUGAGCAUGGCUAUGGAAGCAAGCAGUAGGUCCAAUUUCCUCAUAUAACAUUUGUUAAUUGACCAUUCAUUGAGCCUUCUGAGACUUUCAAGAAGUCCAUCAUGGUCAAGUCUGUGUUUCAUUAGUCUAGAUUAGACCAAGCAUCCUUGGAAAACUAUAUUUCUCCUUUUCACAUCAUUUACUUGGGAAGAAACUCCUCUAGGUCAUUAUCUACUGAGACAUGUGGUUCCACAUUCAGUAUUGUCUAUUUGAAGAAGGACAAACUAAUAUUCUGC